AAUCCAGCUUGCCUGUUAGCAGAUCUUUCUCGAGCAAUCAACAUAUUAAACUAGGCUCAGCAAAAGGAGAAGCUGACGGGCUUUAUAUGGUUCAGAUCUAAACCUCUAAGACGAUCCAGUUACUACUGCUGCUUUUUUCUUCAAUUGUUUUUUAGUGCAAGCGUGCAGCAGGUUCUAAAUACUGUUACAUCGGGGUAUCGUAGAAGAGAAAGGCAAACAAUGAAAAUUGAAAUCACAUUUACUUUGUGGUGGAGUCUCGCAAAUACUACUAGAUUGUAAGUCAUGGUGGCGUGUCUAAUAUGAACCUUGAGCCAUCAAAGCCUUUCUGAUUUAGUUUGGUCUGGUUGUCAUACGCGACUGGCGUUGGGCCGGAUCUAGAAUGUAUGUGCAAACCCUGUAUAUGUAUUAAAAUAUUCACUAAAUAAUUGACCGUGAUAUAUUAAUUUAAGAUCGUUAUAGGAAUAUAUGUACUUUGAACCCUGGUCAGCCUCUGGAUUGAGAAUUCUGAAGGUGAAACUCUCUCAUAAUUUGGUGACCUAUCUUCCUUAGGGGCCGGCCUUUAGCCUUUUAAUUAGAGUAAGGGUCGCUUGUCAUUGGUUUUGGUAUUUCAGUUUUUUACAGAUA